UGUACUUAAUUUUAUUUAAUUGUUGAAAUUCAAUUUUUUAUUGGGAAUAUUUUUCAUUUAGAAGCUUUCAAGAUUCCUUAGUGAAAUUAUUUUCAUUUCCCCUGCAGAAGGUGGAACUGGAAUAUUCAGAUCCAUAUUUUCAUGGUGACAUCCUUACCAACAGCAAGAAUGAUGCUUUUCAAUAUGCGCUGAAUGAAAUCAGGGAUGUGUUGAAGGUGGUGUGUCAAGUUCAUUGUUUACGUUUAGCUCAAACAUGGGUCCCGGGCUGGUUUUGCAGCAAUGGGAUCCAUGGUGGUACCUUUGAUGUGAGCAGCGAAGGACGAGCCUUGUGCACAAUUAAGACAGCGUCCUAUUUAGCAGGGGAAGGGGAGUGGCCCUAUGGAGAGGAUUAUACUUUCUUGGAUGCCUGUCAAUCUCAUCACCUACAAAAGGGGCAAGGGGUUGUUGGGAGGGUGCUUUCAUCUCAUAAAUUGUUAUUCUGCUCAGAUAUAACAAGAUUCAGCAUAGCCGACUAUCCCCUAGCACAUUAUGCAUGCAAGUUUGGAUUGACCGGUUGUUUUGCAAUUUGCAUCAACAAAGGCCAUGGAGACCUGCAGACCUCAUUGAGCAUGAUAUUGGGAACAAUGAUGCAAUUAUUGAAAGGUUUUAAGCUUGCUACUGGAGAAAAACUGAGACAAGAUUUAUCUAUUGAAGCUAUUGAUUUUUGCAAUGAUGAGAAACUUGAUUCUAUGCAGACACCCCAAACUAAUAGAUAUUCCACUACGCUCCCCUCACAAAAUAUAAGAGAGAUGACCAGCUGGAUUCAUCAAAUCAGGAAUCUAUGGAUGCCAUAAACAAUGGAAGGAAUGAUGUUAGUGCGGAGCAAAGCAACAUACAUGGUACUGAUGUACAGAAGAAAAGCAAAACAAAAACGUAGGAGAGGGAACACAGAAAAGGUGGAAUUCCAAUUAGUUUGGAGGAUCUCCAACGUCAUUCUGGAAUGAAAGUUGAAGAUGCUGCGAAUAGCCUUGGCAUUAGUCGAUCUACAUUUAUGCGUGUCUGUAGAAAAUAUGGUAUCGGCAGGUGGCCACCUCGCAAGGGACUCAGGAAUAAUCAUUCCCCCUCUGAUAAAACUGUCCGAGGUGUUGAUCAAGAAAAAAUUUCAGAAUGCAGUUAGAGAGACAGUCCGAGUUCUAAUCAAGCCGUGCCUACUGUUGGUCGAACAAAGCAACAUAUUAAGGCAACCUAAGA